rnacentral:rRNA from 1 species
AUUGAACGCUGGCGGCAUGCUUUACACAUGCAAGUCGAACGGUAACAGGGUGCUUGCACCGCUGACGAGUGGCGAACGGGUGAGUAAUGCGUCGGAACGUGCCGAGUAGUGGGGGAUAACGCAGCGAAAGUUGUGCUAAUACCGCAUACGUACUGAGAUAGAAAGUGGGGGACCUUCGGGCCUCACGCUAUUCGAGCGGCCGACGUCUGAUUAGCUAGUAGGUGAGGUAAAGGCUCACCUAGGCGACGAUCAGUAGCGGGUCUGAGAGGAUGAUCCGCCACACUGGGACUGAGACACGGCCCAGACUCCUACGGGAGGCAGCAGUGGGGAAUUUUGGACAAUGGGCGAAAGCCUGAUCCAGCCAUGCCGCGUGUCUGAAGAAGGCCUUCGGGUUGUAAAGGACUUUUGUCGGGGAGGAAAUCCCCAGCGUUAAUACCGCUGGGGGAUGACAGUACCUGAGGAAUAAGCACCGGCUAACUACGUGCCAGCCGCCGCCGUAAAAC